UAGCUCUACCCAGCACAAGGAGGAGGGAGUGAGGGAGGUUGAGAGAAAUGAAUUGACAGGUUACCAUAAAAGUUGAGGUUAUUAUUUCUUGGCAAUUCUUUUCUACUGUAAAAAGCAUGAUGGAAAAUAACAAUAAUAAUAAAUCCAGAGAAAGAGUCUUGUAAGAAAUUAUCAAGUAUUAGAAGAUAGGAGUGUGAUAGACAUGGGCACACUUGGAUUUGAGUAGUGAUAGAAUGUGAAACCUUGUUGCAAAGGCAAGUGGGACAAUGUCCAUUGAGGUACCAUCUCUUAGGAGUUACAAGUCAAGGAAGAUCCAAUUUGAGACAUCAAAUCUCUCUCUUUCUAAGUCUUUGCACUCUUUUUCUUUCAUUUUAUUCCACAGCUCCCUGGAACAUCAGCCAUCAGCUAUCAGCCUUGACUCCAGGGUGCCAUUGCAGAUGAGGAUUUGCAGGUCACCACAGAAUGAGAGAAAAAAGCAAGAGAGAGAAUGAAGCUGAUCAUUAAUGGUCAACAGAUGCAGGUCUUAUUAAGCCAUCAGCAAUCAAAGUCUCGUGUGUGUUUGGGUAGUGUUGGGUGGUGGAGUCGCUCAAUAUCUGUCUGUGGCUGAGCUUGGCUUGGCUUGGCUGAUCCCAGGCCAUGGUCCCAUGAAGAAUCUCUCCUUGUUACUCACUCCUCUUGCUUCUUCACAACAUUCACUGGCUGUUUACAAGGGUCCCCUGUUCAAUCAACUCUCCACUCCUUGCACUCUUGAGCAAUCAUCCAAGAAGAAAAGGAAGCAUAGCUAUGUGGUUUAGAAAGGGCUUGCACUUAGGAAGAGUCAGCGGAUCUACUUGACUUACAAGUCAUUUAAUAAUAAUGCUUACUAAAUUUCCAUAUAUGGAACCUGUGGAUGCAUUGUUUUUCUAUGAUUGAGGUAAAAUUAUUGCUA